CAGUCGCCGCGGUAAUACGUAGGGCGCAAGCGUUGUCCGGAAUUAUUGGGCGUAAAGAGCUCGUAGGCGGUCUGUCGCGUCUGGUGUGAAAUCCCGAGGCUCAACCUCGGGCUUGCAUCGGGUACGGGCAGACUAGAGUGCGGUAGGGGAGACUGGAAUUCCUGGUGUAGCGGUGGAAUGCGCAGAUAUCAGGAGGAACACCGAUGGCGAAGGCAGGUCUCUGGGCCGCAACUGACGCUGAGGAGCGAAAGCAUGGGGAGCGAACAGGAUUAGAUACUCGCGUAGUCCCUGUCUCUUAUAC
rnacentral:rRNA from 1 species